rnacentral:rRNA from 1 species
UACGUAGGGGGCAAGCGUUGUCCGGAAUCAUUGGGCGUAAAGAGCGUGUAGGCGGCUCGGUAAGUCCGCUCUGAAAGCCCGGGGCUCAACCCCGGGAGGCGGGCGGAUACUGUCGGGCUAGAGUCCGGAAGAGGCGAGUGGAAUUCCUGGUGUAGCGGUGAAAUGCGCAGAUAUCAGGAGGAACACCCAUGGCGAAGGCAGCUCUCUGGCCUAUAACUGACGCUGAGGUGCGAAAGCGUGGGGAGCAAACGGG